AUUCGGUUCAUCAGCCAGCCCAAUCAGGUCUGCCUCCCAGCUCUCUCUUCACUAUGACCUUCUUCCCCCUUCCAUGUAGUUUAAGCUGCUGCCUAGAGCGUUUGGACAGCCUUUUUCUGCUGCCGGCCAAGCUGUCUCUCUGCCUUUUCCACACUGCACCUCACCCAGCAGUCAAAGUAGGCAGUCCCUCGGAUUCCUACCGCAGUGCUCUGGCUCAAGACCUUCCGGCACUUGUUACAUAUGUAUCUUAUUGUGAUUCUUCUUCACCUUGUUCUCUGACUGCCCCGGUGGGACAGCGAUUCUUGGUUGUUCACCCUUCAAUCUCUCUGGCUUACAAGAAGAGCAUGGACCAUGAACAUCAACAAGGCCUGCUGCGGCAGGAAGAAUCGACACGGCCUCUGGAGGUGGCAUGGACCACGGACGUCUUUCAAGGAGACUUAAUCCAGAAAACGGAUCACUCAUCUCAGACAAUCUUGUUCAGAGUCAGUGUGUGCAGUUGGGCCGUGUGUCUGGGGGCAGGACCUGUGUGAAAUCCAGGCUGCUGCACAGCACUCUGCCCUUAGCUGCCCUGUCAACAGCCUAGGCACAACCAUCCUAUCUGCAGCACAAGGGCAGUGAGGUAACCCUGGAUCUUAUCCCCACAGCAGGGCGAGCAGCCAGAGAAGCUCCAGCUGCUGUAAUGUAAACAAAUAAUAUGUAAUAAAAAAAGAAAUAAAAGUAACAAAAAAAGAAAGAAA
rnacentral:lncRNA from 1 species